rnacentral:lncRNA from 1 species
AUGUGUCAGACUACUACACUACAGUUCAGACUACUAUACUACAGUUCAGACUACUAUACUACAGUUCAGACUACAGUUCAGACUACUACACUACAGUUUAGACUACUAUACUACAGUUCAGACUACUAUACUACAGUUCAGACUACAGUUCAGCCUACUACACUACAGUUCAGACUACUAUACUACAGUUCAGACUACAAUGCUACCGUUCAGACUACUACACUACAGUUCAGACUACAAUACUACAGUUCAGACUACUAUACUACAGUUCAGACUACAAUACUACAGUUCAAACUACAAUACUACAGUUCAGACUACUAUACUACAGUUCAGACUACUAUACUACAGUUCAGACUACUGUCCAAUUGUUUACUUCAUUCAUUGGUUCAGACUAUUAUACUACGGUUCAGACUACUACACUACAGUUCAGACUACAAUACUACAGUUCAGACUACUAUACUACAGUUCAGACUACAGUUCAGACUACUACACUACAGUUCAGACUAUUACACUACAGUUCAGACUACAACACUACAGUUCAGACUACCACACUACAGUUCAGACUACUAUACUACAGUUCAGACUACUACACUACAGUUCAGACUACAUUUCAGACUACAACACUACAGUUCAGACUACUACACUACAGUUCAGACUACUACACUACAGUUCAGACUACUAUACUACAGUUCAGACUACAAUACUACAGUUCAGACUACUAUACUACAGUUCAGACUACUGUCCAAUUGUUUACUUCAUUCAUUGGUUCAGACUAUUAUACUACGGUUCAGACUACCACACUACAGUUCAGACUACUACACUACAGUUCAGACUACAACACUACAGUUCAGACUACUAUACUACAGUUCAGACUACUAUACUACAGUUCAGACUACUAUACUACAGUUUAGACUACUAUACUACAGUUCAGACUACUAUACUACAGUUCAGACUACUAUACUACAGUUCAGACUACUACACUACAGUUCAGACUACUAUACUACAGUUCAGACUACAGUUCAGACUACUACACUACAGUUCAGACUACUAUACUACAGUUCAGACUACUAUACUACAGUUCAGACUACUAUACUACAGUUCAGGAUGUUACGUAUAGUAGCGGUAGAAGCAGUAGUUGUGUGUUUCAGUCGCAGUAGAAUUGUAAAACUUUCACCAAGGCACUUCUGUACAGAAACAAUCUAA